CAGGCUUAACACAUGCAAGUCGAGGGGCAUCAUGAAAGUUUGCUUGCAAACUUUUGAUGGCGACCGGCGCACGGGUGAGUAACACGUAUCCAACCUGCCUCAUACUCGGGGAUAGCCUUUCGAAAGAAAGAUUAAUACCCGAUGUCAUAGUCCUACCGCAUGAUGGGAUUAUUAAAGAAUUUCGGUAUGGGAUGGGAUGCGUUCCAUUAGUUAGUUGGCGGGGUAACGGCCCACCAAGACAACGAUGGAUAGGGGUUCUGAGAGGAAGGUCCCCCACAUUUGAACUGAGACACGGUCCAAACUCCUACGGGAGGCAGCAGUGAGGAAUAUUGGUCAAUGGACGAGAGUCUGAACCAGCCAAGUAGCGUGAAGGAUGACUGCCCUAUGGGUUGUAAACUUCUUUUAUAUGGGAAUAAAAUGUUCCACGUGUGGGAUUUUGUAUGUACCAUAUGAAUAAGGAUCGGCUAACUCCGUGCCAGCAGCCGCGGUAAUACGGAGGAUCCGAGCGUUAUCCGGAUUUAUUGGGUUUAAAGGGAGCGUAGGUGGAUUGUUAAGUCAGUUGUGAAAGUUUGCGGCUCAACCGUAAAAUUGCAGUUGAAACUGGCAGUCUUGAGUACAGUAGAGGUGGGCGGAAUUCGUGGUGUAGCGGUGAAAUGCUUAGAUAUCACGAAGAACUCCGAUUGCGAAGGCAGCUCACUGGACUGCAACUGACACUGAGGCUCGAAAGUGUGGGUAUCAAACAGGAUUAGAUACCCUGGUAGUCCACACAGUAA
rnacentral:rRNA from 1 species